rnacentral:rRNA from 1 species
UACAGAGGGUGCGAGCGUUAAUCGGAAUUACUGGGCGUAAAGCGUGCGCAGGCGGUUUUGUAAGUCAGAUGUGAAAGCCCCGGGCUCAACCUGGGAACGGCAUUGGUGACUGCACGGCUAGAGUGUGUCAGAGGGGGUAGAAUUCCACGUGUAGCAGUGAAAAUGCGUAGAGAUGUGGAGGAAUACCGAUGGCGAAGGCAGCCCCUGGGAUGACACUGACGCUCAGGCACGAAAGCGUGGGGGAGCAAACAGG